rnacentral:rRNA from 1 species
AGGACGAACGCUGGCGGCGUGCUUAACACAUGCAAGUCGAGCGGUGAUCCUCCUUCGGGAGGUGAUCAGCGGCGAACGGGUGAGUAACACGUGGGCAACCUGCCCCUCACACUGGGAUAACCUCGGGAAACCGGGGCUAAUACCGGAUACGACCUCGAGCGGCAUCUCUUGAGGUGGAAAGCUCCGACGGUGAGGGGUGGGCCCGCGGCCUAUCAGCUUGUUGGUGGGGUAAUGGCCUACCAAGGCGACGACGGGUA